UGGGGAAUAUUGCACAAUGGGCGGAAGCCUGAUGCAGCAACGCCGCGUGCGGGAUGACGGCCUUCGGGUUGUAAACCGCUUUCGCCUGUGACGAAGCGUGAGUGACGGUAAUGGGUAAAGAAGCACCGGCUAACUACGUGCCANCACCCGCGGGGAUGAUACGGAGGGAGGCGAGCGUUGUCCGUAUUUUAUUGGGCGUAAAGGGCUCGUAGGUGGUUGAUCGCGUCGAAAGUGUAAUCUUGGGGCUUACCCCUGACCGUGUCUUUCAAUACGGGUUGACUUGAGGAAGGUAGGGGAAAAUGGAAAUUCCUGGGGGGAGCGGGGGAAAUGCCCAAAUAUCAGGGAGGAAACCCCAGUGGNNAAGGCGGUUCUCUGGGCCCUUUUCNUGACGCUAAAGAANCNAAAGCGUGGGGAGCGAACAGGCUUAAAUACCCGGGUAGUCCACNCUGUAAACGGGGGGUACUAGGUGUGGGGUCCAUUCCACGGGUUCCGUGCCGUAGCUAANGCUUUANGUNCCCCGCNNGGGGNGNNNGGCCGCAAGGCU
rnacentral:rRNA from 1 species